UAUUAAUGAUUGGAAUGGUUGCCUUCGGUGCUCGCUCUUGGGGGUGGGGCUUGGUGGCUUUCCUGCGAUAGCGGUGUGAACCUUUGGCCUGUGGCUAGCUUCCGGGUGCCGAGGAUUUUUACACCGUGGAAUGUAAUGAAAAGUAUUGUCGUGGGGAAGCACUAAUGUACAAUUUUCAACAGGAUCUCUUGGCUCUCGGCUCCAUAAAAACGGGGGGGAAUGCCAUAAGUAAUGUGAAUUGCAAAAUUCGUGAAUCUGGAAUCUUGAACGGGCUGGGACGGUUUGGUAUUGCCGGGGGUAUGGUGGUUUGGGUGUCUUGUACUCUCCACUCUCGAUCUUUGGAUUGGGGGGGGGGGGAGUGGGGGGUUUGGCGCGUCGGGGGGCUACCCCAAUGCUUAGUGCACCCUUGUUGGAGGAUUACUCUAGAAGUAUCUUCCGGCCCUCAAGAGGGUGUCCGAUUGGGACUCUGUGCUUUCAACCGUCUUCCGGACAAUCUUGACACUUGACCUCCAUGCAGUAGGACUACCCCGCUGAACUUAAGCUAUGCAUAGGGGGGAGGGA
rnacentral:misc_RNA from 1 species